rnacentral:rRNA from 1 species
AGCGAACGCUGGCGGCAUGCCUAACACAUGCAAGUCGCACGGGGGGGCUUCGGCCUCCCAGUGGCGGACGGGUGAGGAACGCGUAGGGACCUGUCGAGGGGUGGGGGAUAACCGCGAGAAACUGCGGCUAAUACCGCAUGACGCCGCGGCGUGACAGCCGGGGCCAAAGGCGAAAGCCGCCCGCCGAGGGGCCUGCGUCCGAUUAGCUGGUUGGCGGGGUAGCGGCCCACCAAGGCGUCGAUCGGUAGCUGGUCUGAGAGGGUGAUCAGCCACACCGGGACUGAGACACGGCCCGGACUCCUACGGGAGGCAGCAGUGGGGAAUAUUGGACAAUGGGCGCAAGCCUGAUCCAGCAAUGCCGCGUGGGUGAAGAAGGUCUUCGGAUUGUAAAGCCCUUUCGGCGGGGACGAUGGUGACGGUACCCGCAGAAGAAGCCCCGGCUAACUUCGUG